UGUACCUGUACAUUUAUCUGUCUAACUACGCUGCCUGAAGACGUAUCUGCCGACGGGGGACAUUGGUUUACCACAUUACUAGUCUUGAAUUGAAGAAACGAGGCAAAAUCCUCCAUUUUCCGUUAAUAUGAAGGUGAAUUACUGCUACCACAACAACGCGGUGCGUGUGUGCAUGAUGAGCGGCUGAGGAGGAGGAGGAGGAGAAGGAGGCUGCGGUCUGAAACCAGAUUUUUAUCCUGGAUAUUUCGAAUGAAACGUCGUUUCAUACACACAGGGUGUGUGUAUUGAUUUCACAACCCCUUUUGUGCCAUAAACCGCCCCUUUCCAUCCCAUUUUUGAUGGUGUUUGAGCCGUUUUCUGCCUCCUGAGGAUCCUCCAGCAGCGGGACGUUGUACGUUUUUUCCUCCAGAUAUGGAGUGUGAAGAUGCGGAUUACAGAGGAAUCCCCGCCGCCAGUUUAGCCGCAUUGGUUUCAUUUCAUCCAUCAAUGCGGUACUGUUUCAGGCAAGAAUAAACAAAACUAUGAAUAAAUAUUUUCUGUCAAGAGGAAUAAAUCGGUGAUUUCGGAGCACGAUUGGACUCCCAUUUGGAACGUGAGGAGGCUAUCCUGCUAGCCUGUAUGUAGUAGCUAUUAGCUCCAUUAGCCGGCUAACAGCUAAAAGGUGCUGGCUGGAGAUUAAAAAGCAUUUUUUAGGAAUUCUGACCAGGUUUUGUCCACGUUUCCUCCCAUAGACAUAUUUAUUUACAAGAUUCGGGAGGAUUAACUCAUCCAGGAAUGAGGUCUCGAGCGGAAAGGAGCCGCUUGACCUUGUUUUGGGGUCUGAUGCUGGCUCUGUCGUCCUGCCUCUGGCCCGCCACCGCAGAGAUAUGUGGUCCAAGCAUCGAUAUCGGAAACGACAUCAGUGAAUUCAGGCGUCUAGAAAACUGCACAGUGGUAGAAGGCUACCUGCAGAUCCUCCUCAUCGGUGACAAGAACAACAACAACAUCAACCAGGAAGUCUUCCGCUCCCUGAGCUUCCCCAAGCUGACCAUGAUCACUGACUACUUGCUGCUAUUUAGAGUUUCCGGCCUGGACAGUCUGAGCACGCUCUUCCCCAACCUCACUGUCAUCCGCGGUCAGAAACUCUUCUACAACUACGCCCUGGUGAUCUUUGAGAUGACCAGUCUGAAGGACAUUGGCCUUUCCAACCUAAGGAACAUCACCCGCGGCGCCAUUCGCAUUGAGAAGAACCCUGAGCUGUGCUACCUGGACUCCAUAGACUGGUCCCUCAUCAUGGAUGCAGAGGUUAACAACUACAUCGCUGGGAACAAGCAGUCCAAGGAGUGCAGCGAUGUUUGUCCAGGGAUCAUGGAGAACAACCCUCAGUGCAGGAAGACCAUGUUCGGCAACAACUACAACUACCGCUGCUGGAACUCCAAUCACUGCCAGAAAGAGUGCCCGGAGAAGUGUGAACGACGAGCGUGCACAGCAGAAGGAGAGUGUUGCCACCCUCAAUGUCUUGGCAGCUGCACAGCCCCCGGUAGUGACACAGCUUGUGCUGCGUGUGUGCAUUACUUCUACCAAGGACGCUGCGUGGAGGACUGCCCUCCUGGCACCUACAAGUUUGAAGGCUGGCGUUGCAUCAGCGAGGAUCUCUGCUCGAAAGUCCACCUCCCUGAGUACGACAGCUUCGUCAUCCACGGUGGAGAGUGCAUGUCUGAAUGCCCGCCUGGUUACACACGCACUGCACCCAACAGUAUGUUCUGUACAGCCUGUGAUGGUCUGUGUGAUAAAGUGUGCCACGAGAAGGUCAUCGACUCCAUGGAUGCCGCUCAGUCUCUUAAAGGCUGCACUGUUAUCAAAGGCAACCUGCACAUCAACAUCCGUAGAGGCCACAACAUGGUGGCAGAGCUGGAGAGUUUCACAGGUUUGAUCCAGAGGGUGACAGGCUAUGUUCGGAUCCGACACUCCCACACCCUGAGCUCUUUGGCCUUCCUUCGUAGUCUGAGAUACAUCGAUGGAGAAGAGCUUCUGGAUGACAUGUACGCCUUCUCUGCCUUUGACAACCAGCAGCUUCAGUAUCUUUGGGACUGGAAACAGCACAACCUCACCAUCAAGAAUGGAAGGCUUUUCUUUCGAGCAAACCCCAAACUCUGCAUGUCCGAGAUCCGCAAAAUGUGGGAGAAGACGGGCAUCCAGGGCCACUUUGAAGACAGUGAUUUCCGAAACAACGGCGACAGAGCCAGCUGUGAAAGCGCCAUCCUGAAGUUUAAGUCCAACACCACCAGCAGCACGAGGAUCAAACUGACAUGGCAGCGUUACCGUCCCCGUGACUACAGAGAUCUCAUCAGCUUCAUCCUCUACUACAAAGAGGCGCCGUUCCAGAACAUCACAGAGUUCGAGGGCCAGGAUGGAUGCGGCUCCAACAGCUGGAAUAUGGUGGAUGUGGAGCUAAGCCAGGACAAGGACUCAGACCCUGGCGUCCUACUGUCCAACCUGAAACCCUGGACACAGUACGCCAUUUUCGUGAAGGCCAUCACACUCAUGGUGGAGGACAAACACAAGGGUGCCAAGAGCAAGGUGGUCUAUAUCCGCACCAGCCCUGCAGCGCCCUCCAUGCCUCAGGAUGUGAGAGCGUACUCCAACUCAUCCACUCAGCUGGUAGUGCGUUGGUCUCCCCCUGUCUCACCAAACGGAAAUCAGACUUACUACCUGGUUCGAUGGCAGCAACAAGCUGAAGACAGAGAGCUGUAUCAGCACAACUAUUGCUCCAAAGAGCUGAAGAUCCCCAUAAGGAUUGCUGCCAUGGGUGUAGGAGACCAGGAAGAGGACACCAAGCCCACUAAGCCGGACCCGGAUGGGGCAGACAAAGGCCCCUGUUGCCCCUGCCCCAGAUCAGCAGAAGAACUGGAGAUCGAAGCUGCUGAUGCCUCCUACAGAAAAGUCUUUGAGAAUUUUCUGCACAACUCCAUAUUUACUCCUAGGCCACCUGAUCGCCGCCGUAGAGAUCUCUUUGGCGUAGCCAACUCCACUCAUCCCCGCCGCAGCCGCCCACACACCAACAGCAGCACGGUCCCUCCCCUCCAGGCGGCUGGUAACAGCAGCGUGGUGGACGUAGAUCCAGGGGACAGAGAGUACGAGUUUGUGGAGCAAGCUGUGACGGAGCGGGAGCUGCAGAUCUCCGGCCUACAGCCAUUUACAGUUUACCGCAUCGACAUCCAUGCCUGUAAUCGUCAGGUCCAACGCUGCAGUGCCGCAGAGUUCGUCUUUUCCCGAACGAAGCCUGCAGAAAAAGCUGACGACAUCCCCGGUCUGGUGACCUGGGAGGGCCAUGAGGACUGGGUGUUUCUGCGCUGGCCAGAGCCACGUCACCCCAACGGACUCAUCCUCAUGUAUGAGAUCAAGUUCAGACUGGCUGCUGAGACGGAGAAGCACGAGUGUGUGUCUGGUCAGAUGUACAAGGCCCAGCGAGGGGUUCGGCUGACUAACCUCAGUCCUGGAAACUACUCAGUCAGAGUGAGAGCAACGUCACUGGCAGGCAACGGCUCAUGGACGCAGCCUCUGGAUCUCUAUGUAGCUGAACGAUAUGAAAACGUCCUCUACGCUAUGAUCUUGAUACCUAUCUCCAUCGUCUUCAUAAUCUGCAUUUUAACAGUGGUGUUGGUGGUUGUCAACAGGAAAAGGAACAGUGACCGGCUUGGAAAUGGAGUCCUGUACGCCUCAGUUAACCCUGAGUACUUCAGCGCUGCAGAGAUGUAUGUACCAGAUGAGUGGGAGGUGGCCCGGGAGAAGAUCUCCCUGAGUCGUGAGCUCGGCCAGGGGUCCUUCGGCAUGGUGUACGAGGGCCUGGCGAAGGGCGUGGUCAAAGAUGAGCCAGAAACACGUGUUGCCAUAAAGACGGUCAAUGAGUCAGCCAGUAUGAGGGAGAGGAUUGAGUUUCUGAAUGAAGCAUCGGUCAUGAAGGAGUUCAACUGUCACCACGUGGUUCGUCUCCUUGGUGUGGUGUCUCAGGGUCAGCCCACCCUGGUCAUCAUGGAACUGAUGACUCGAGGAGAUCUGAAGAGUUACUUACGUUCCCUCCGACCUAAAGAGCAGCAGUGGUCGAGCCUGUCUCUCCCUCCUCUGAAGAAGAUGCUUCAGAUGGCCGGGCAGAUCGCUGACGGCAUGGCUUACCUAAACGCCAACAAGUUCGUCCACAGAGACCUGGCAGCCAGGAACUGCAUGGUGGCUGAGGACUUCACUGUUAAGAUCGGAGAUUUCGGCAUGACCAGAGACAUCUAUGAGACAGAUUACUACCGCAAAGGUGGUAAAGGUUUGCUCCCUGUGCGCUGGAUGUCCCCGGAGUCUCUAAAGGAUGGAGUAUUCACAACUAACUCUGAUGUCUGGUCAUUUGGAGUUGUGUUGUGGGAGAUCGCCACUCUAGCAGAGCAGCCGUACCAGGGUCUGUCCAACGAGCAGGUGCUCCGCUUCGUCAUGGAGGGAGGCCUGCUGGAGAAACCACAGAACUGUCCUGACAUGCUGUUCGAGCUCAUGCGAAUGUGCUGGCAGUACAAUCCGAAGAUGCGCCCGUCUUUCGUAGAGAUCAUCAGCAGCGUAAAGGACGAGCUGGAGCCUUCCUUCAGAGAGGUUAGCUUCUUCUACAGUGCUGACAACAAGCCACUCGAUGCUCCGCAGCUCCACCUGGACAAGAUGGACGACAUGGAUGAUGUUCCUCUUGACCCCUCUUCUUCUCAGACGCAGCAAACAUCAGUCCCUCAACAGACCCCACCCUCACCCAGCUCAGACGCUCCACCCGCCCCCUCGCUAGCACCCAGCUCCCCCUCCUCUCCCUGCACGUCGGCCGCUGCCAUGGACAAGCAGCCUUCCAGCCAGCAGGCAGCCAAUGGGCUCUCGGGGACGGGCCUUGCUGCGGCGUCUGUGCGGCCGUCUCUGGACGAGCUACCGCCUUACGCACACAUGAAUGGAGGACGCAAAAAUGAACGCACCAUGCCUCUACCACAGUCCUCCGCCUGCUGAUUGGACAGACGCACCCACCUGACUGCACCUGCCCCGCCUCAGAGGGUGGGGUCUUCUUUUUUAUUUUUUAAUUCACAUACAGCAAAACUGUGUCCACCAGCUGGGUGUGUCCACUGAGUGAGGAGAAAAGACUCACAGGAAGGUGCAAGACUGUCACUGAGUCCGUGUUCUGCUGUACCUCCACACACUUCUCUCACAUGGUUCUAGUUUUGGUUUCCACCAGCCGGCUGUCAGACAUGACACUGCCCUCGCUGCUGAAUGACAAGACCAGAAAACAACAAAGGAAAGGAAAAAGUUGAAUUUAGGGAAGAUCUGUCUCCCUCUUUAUGGCUGAACUUAUUUUAUAAAUUGUUGUUUGUUACUUUUUUUACAUGUAUUUCCAAAUGGGAAAACAAAAUAUGUAGGCCUUUAUAAGUGAACGGCAUUUUGGUCACUAGGGGCGGGCAUUAAAUUGAAAUUGUUGAGCAUAUCUAACGCAAAAGCACUUCAGAGAGGUCAGAGUCUCCGUCGAUCGUUGAGUAGUGUUGCUCAGCUGAAAGAGAAACUAGUCAAAUCUGCCAAAUUUGUUGCCAAAAUUGUACUUUUUUGUAAAGAUCUCUCUUCUGCAGUCUCGCCCUGUGAUUCUCCAAGAUUUAAAAAAAGACGCCUUUUGAUGUGUUCCCACGCCGUUUGAAAAAUGUGCGAUCAAAGGGAGUUUAACAUCCCUCUAAAGUUCGACACAUUACUCCUCUUUUUGCUUUUGAUAUCUACAGCUCUUGUUCUUUAUAAAUUAACGUCAUGGACCUUGGUUACAUCAGAAGUCUUAUCCUCUCACAAAGUGCUGUUCUGUUAAGGUUUAAAACGCCAAAUCCAGUCUAUAAAGAAGCAAAAAAAUCCUUAAAGAAAGGACUGCAGAGAGUAGAGCAAAUACAGGAAACAUAUAUGAACACUAUCUUCUCUAAUGGGAAGCGUCCUCAUUGUUGUAAACAGACAGGUAUUUUUUUAGACUAGACAUUAGUCUCCACAUUUACGACAUCUCGACGUGGGCAGAGCAUUUAUGUACGCACCAGUUGUUUGUGUCACUUUUCUAACUUUUAUACAGUUGGAGACAUUCAUCAUGUACAGAAAGAAGCUGCUAUUCCUUAUUUCUCUUGUGGUUGUAAUAUAGUUAAUAUCUAUAUAUAAAAAGAGAAAAAAAAACCCUUCAGGUCAGAUCUACAAACGUUUCCACUACGGUCCAUUUUUUUAAUGCUUGUUACUGUGUCUCUGAGCUGGUUUCAUUUCUGUGUUCCCGUAAAGGUACGACAGUUUGGUAACUUCCCCUCACGUCUGAAUAGAGGACAGAGAUGGUACGAACGACGAGUAUCGAUGCUCUCGUGUUUCUCGGGACGCUUCGACCUCUCUCCUCUGGCAUUUACGCUCAGAGGUUUGAGGCAUCACAGCUGAGGCCCAACAAAAUCUCAGAAAAACACUUCUCAUCUCUGUUGUCCGGCUGUAAAGAUGAUCUCACUGAGUGCUGUUAAUACGGUCAAACUCAAACCACAGACUGAACCAUCCUGGAGGAGAGGAGGAGGCAAGAAACACGGCGACUGUUAGGGGAGUCCACAUCAUUGCUGGUCAAUACAUUUCCCUUUAUUCUGCAGAUAAUCAAUGAAUUAUAACUCCUCUAAAUGUCCUUCAGAACGGUCCUGUUUUGGCAUGAAAUUUGACUCAGUUGUACCUCUUGUUCAUUAUAGCUACAGUUAAUCCACAUAGUUCUGCUUCUGCCUGUUUUUCAUGAAGUAAUUUUGGAAAUUAAGAGCUGUUAGUUUGCGACUUUAACUACAUUUAUGAUAAUGUUUCCAGACUACUAAUGCUAGGGCUGUCGCAAAACCAGAAUUUCAAACUUUGAUAUGCCACCAGUAAAAAUCAGACAUCAGUGAUUUGAUAGAAACAACAAUUCAAGUCUAAGCAACCGAUAUUUGGUAAUUUCCUGUGUUUUGUCAUCAAAAAGCAGAUAAACUCCUUCACGCUGUCUAAAUUGCAGUGAGAAUGCCAGAAUACUUUCCAGGUCUUUUACUGCCAAACUGGACUUAUGAAUAUUUUUUCUUUUGCCAGAGUGGUCAUUACAUGGUUUUCUUCCUCCCUCGUCAGUGCAGGUUAAUCAGGCAGCAUCUCUCCUCACCACAGUGAACUCAUCAGGAUGGCUAUUUCAGUGUUUGUGGUCUGAUUUUUGCCUCACUUUUACCACUGGAACACCUCACAGAAUGGACAUGAAAUCGAACAAAUCUCUGUUUUUGUUUAUUUUUAUCCUCCCUUCCCUUUUUUGUUACAUCGUUGGCAAAUUUGUUACAGACUUUUUGAUGUGUGUAAAUUAUUCAUAGCCUUCCAACUCUUUGAGUUUCUAUUAAAAUGAUCUGUUAGACUGAGGUUUCAUUUUGCUUUCUUUUGUACAUGCUGUUGUAAGAUUUUUUCCUGAUUAUCAAUAUAUUCUGAGUACUGGGAAAAAUUAUUGGCUGAAGGAAAGAGGAAUGUCUGUUUCUCUGAUUCUUUUUUCUACACGAGAUUUAAGAUGAAUAAAAAUGUAUGCAAACUGUU